AGUGAACGCUGGCGGUAGGCCUAACACAUGCAAGUCGAACGGCAGCACAGUAAGAGCUUGCUCUUACGGGUGGCGAGUGGCGGACGGGUGAGGAAUACAUCGGAAUCUACUUUUUCGUGGGGGAUAACGUAGGGAAACUUACGCUAAUACCGCAUACGACCUACGGGUGAAAGCAGGGGAUCUUCGGACCUUGCGCGAUUGAAUGAGCCGAUGUCGGAUUAGCUAGUUGGCGGGGUAAAGGCCCACCAAGGCGACGAUCCGUAGCUGGUCUGAGAGGAUGAUCAGCCACACUGGAACUGAGACACGGUCCAGACUCCUACGGGAGGCAGCAGUGGGGAAUAUUGGACAAUGGGCGCAAGCCUGAUCCAGCCAUACCGCGUGGGUGAAGAAGGCCUUCGGGUUGUAAAGCCCUUUUGUUGGGAAAGAAAAGCAGCAGGUUAAUACCCCGCUGUUCUGAAGGUACCCAAAGAAUAAGCACCGGCUAACUUCGUG
rnacentral:rRNA from 1 species